CCCGUGUUACUGUUUCCCCCCUCCCCGUGUUACUGUUUCCCCCUCCCUGUGUUACUGUUUCCACCUCUCCGUGUUACUGUUUCCCUUCCUCUCUUUGCAGAAUAAAAAUGUAGUGCACUACAGGAAAUAGGAUGCCAUUUCAAAACACAAAACACACUUCAUUGUUCCUCUGAAGUGUUUCUAAAAGAGAAUCAACUUGUCCCUUAUUUGUAACACUUCCACUUGAUAUUGUUGUGUUGUGACGAAAAGCCCACUAGUCUUAGAGCCUGCCUUCUGUGAGUCUCCCUAUAAAUUAGAGGACGUACUAAACAUAAAUGAGAUCAAGUUCUCCAAGGCGAGGCCACGCCCGUUGGACAAAUGAUCUAAUCUCCUUGGAAACCAAAAGACCGAUCAAGGAAGUCUUAUCCUACUUAGACAGAAGAGUUUCCAGAGAGGACCCGGCGGAGCGCGCUGUUGCUCAUUCAAGACCACGGACUGAGUUCGCAAUACAUCCUGCGGGGUCAGAGAAAUAAUUACAUUAACUCUAAUAGACUUUAGGUCUACUUCCCUGGACUGAUAAUACACUGAACAAAAAUAUAAAUGCAACAUGUAAUGUUUCAUGAGCUGAAAUAAAGAUCCCAAUUUUUCAUAUGCACAGAAAGCUUAUUUCUCUCAAAUGUUGUGCACAGAUUUGUUACAUCCCUGUUAGUGAGCAUUUCUACUUUGCCAAGAUAAUCCAUCCACCUGACAGAUGUGGCCUAUCAAGAAGCUGAUGAAACAGCAUGAUCAUUACACAGGUGCACCUUAUGCUGGGGACAAUAAAAGGCCACUCUUAAAAUGUGCCCUUUUGUCCCACAACACAGAUGUCUCAAGUUUUGAGGGCUUGUGCAAUCGACAUGCUGACUGCAGGAAUGUCCAUCAGAGCUGUUGCCAGAUAGAGAAAUUAACAUUCAAUUACCAUAAGCCACCUCCGUCGUUUUAGAAAAUGUUACAGUACGCGUAACCAGCCUCACAACCGCAGACCACGUGCAUGGCAUCAUGUGGGUGAGCGGUUUGCUGAUGUCAACGUUGUGAACAGAGUGCCCCGUGAUGGCGGUAGGGUUAUGAUAAGGGCAGGCAAGCUAUGGACAAAUGCAAGUGUGUUCGUUAUCUUCAUGCACAGAUAUACCGUGAUGAGAUCCUGACGCCCAUUGUCAUUCCAUUCAUCUGUCACCAUCACCUCCUGUUUCAGCAUGUUAACGCACAGCCUUAUGUCGCAAGGAUCUGUACACAAUUCCUGGAAGCUGAACAUUUCCCAGUUCUUCCAUAGCCUGCAUACUCACCAGACAUGUCACCCAUUGAGCAUGUUUGGGAUGCUCUGGAUCGACGUGUCCGACAGCAUGUUUCAGUUUCUGCCAAUAUCAAGCAACUUCGCAGCCAUUGAAGAGUAGUGGGACAACAUUCCACAGGCCACAAUCAACAACCUGAUCAACUCUAUGUGAAGGAGAUGUGUCACGCAGCAGGAGGCAAAUGGUGGUCCUACCAGAUAAUGUUUCUCAUCCAUCCAGGCCCCUACCUUUUUUUAAAGUAAAAGAACCAAGAGAGGAAGACGUGGGUAUCACUCCUUUGGCUGUGAGCUAUUUCCAGCCCCCUGGCCUCAGCUCUACGAGAGGGAGAGAGAGACCACCAUCCUCCAAGCACUUAUCCCAUCCUGACGGAAUCCCACUGAGAGGCAACAUCGACAUACAAUGAAUUUCCCUGUUGCAUUAUUCCUAUUCUAUGAAAGUGGCGUUGUGUGUGUGUAAGACGGCAGGACUAAUUUACCAACCCAUGAUCCAUACUGUCUCUGCAUUGUCCACAUUCAGAUGUGAACUGAUAGCCUGGGCCCACUGGUGAUUUCUGGGUGACAAAACUAUCAUUUCACGGUUGUGAAAGCAUGUGUUGGUGGAGCCUCUCAUAUUUCCCUCUCAAUUGAUAAGACUCAUCUCGUCCUCAAAAGUCUUGUGAAUGUAUGUACCGUUGUAUUUGCUGAGUUGGGUACGGAAGUUAAUUUAUAUUGACCUGUGGAGAUUGUCCCCUAGACAACUGUGCUGUAUCUUGUACACCCUGCCUCUAUAUUGUAUCUGUUAACUACUGAAUUUUCCAACUUAUUUAGUCUAGUAAAUAAAACCUUGAAUGAA